rnacentral:rRNA from 1 species
CCUACGGGAGGCAGCAGUGAGGAAUAUUGGUCAAUGGACGAGAGUCUGAACCAGCCAAGUAGCGUGAAGGAUGACUGCCCUAUGGGUUGUAAACUUCUUUUAUAAAGGAAUAAAAUGAGGCACGUGUGCAUUUUUGCAUGUACUUUAUGAAUAAGGAUCGGCUAACUCCGUGCCAGCAGCCGCGGUAAUACGGAGGAUCCGAGCGUUAUCCGGAUUUAUUGGGUUUAAAGGGAGCGUAGAUGGGUUGUUAAGUCAGUUGUGAAAGUUUGCGGCUCAACCGUAAAAUUGCAAUUGAUACUGGCAGUCUUGAGUACAGUUGAGGUAGGCGGAAUUCGUGGUGUAGCGGUGAAAUGCUUAGAUAUCACGAAGAACCCCGAUUGCGAAGGCAGCUUACUAAACUGUGACUGACAUUGAUGCUCGAAAGUGUGGGUAUCAAACAGGAUUAGAUACCCCAGUAGUC